CUGACUAAUACAUCUGGAAUGGGCCUGAGAUUCUGUAUUGCUAAGAAGCAAUGAAUAACAAGUUUAUAGAAGACUUCGAUUAAGGAUUCCAACAUAUAUGAAAAAUUUCAAACCAGAAGAGGCCUCCCCCAUUUUUAAAAAUAUGCUUUUUAUUUUAAGAGUUUUAGGUUUAUAGGAAAGUUGCAGAGAUAGUACAGUGACAUUAUUCACCAUAGCCAAGAUCUAGAAACAACCUAAGGAGCCAUCAACAGAGAAAUGGAUAAAGAAAAUGUGAUAUGUAACAUAUAUAAAAUGGAAUAUUGAAGCCAUCCUCCCAGCUAAAGCCCAAGAAUUCUUGAUGAAGUAUCCAGUGGUCCUGAUCCAUGGGUUGUGCCUAGCUAAUUUAAAAAGAAAAGGAGGGUCACCUGUGUGGCUCAGUCAGUUGAGCGUCUGACUCUAGAUUUCGGUUCAGGUUAUGAUCCCAGAGUCCUGGGAUCGAGCCUUGCGUCGAGCCUUGUGAUAGGCCCCGCGUUCCGGUUUCAUCUUUCCACUGGCUCUCCAUCUCUUCAUUGAAGCCUUGCCUAAGUAUCUUCCUUAGGCUGUGGUAAUUUAGGACACAAUUUUUGGUCAUAAUUUUCAUUUUCUCUGUGAUGAUAUUUUUCUGGAGCUGCCAUACCAUGUUUCACAGUGGCUGCACCAUUUACACUCUUACCAACAAUGCACAAUGCACCUUUCAACAAAGGUCUUCUUGGAAUGCAACAUUUGGAGUCCCUCUUACAUCUUCUUGCCUCUAGAACAAAGCUGAACUUGUUGAUCCAUCCCCGUGAAGUGAAGCUUGAAAAGAAUUCUCUCCAUGUUCCCAAAUCCCUUUUUAAGUCAAAGUGCCUCCAAAUUGCCUCUCCUUGUAGACCUUCUGUGACCCACAGUAUACUGGAGAAAAGCAGAAUCUCAGUCCCCAUCCCAGAAAUAGCGCUUGCAUUUUCAUGUGGUUCUCAUACGUGUUAGAGUUUGAGAAGCACGGAUUUAGAGCUCCAGGCUUGGCUCACACUUGACCCCGGUCCUCCUCGCUGAACAACAGAGGUAAGGAGACUAGAACAGCGGUAAUAGUUAUGUUAGGGACAGGAUCUCUACCCAAGGAUCCACUCAGACACUUUUCACUAUCCUCAAGCCCUGCCUGCACAGGAAGCUGGCCACUAAAGAUAGACUGCCUGUGGGAGACAUAGGGACAUAAGGGACCUCUGCUAGCUGUGCAGCAGGGUGAAAAAGGGUGGAACAGGAAAAGGAGGAAGGCAAGUUCCUGGAUUCCAAAAACCACAGUUUGUCUAGGUGCUACUUUCUCCCUUAUUUAGCACAUAACUUUGUCAUAUGACAUCCCUUUGCUGACCUCUUUUCCUUUUGCAUUUUACCCCGCAUUCAAAAGUCACCAUCUAAAACUUUUCUCCAUGGGUUAGAAACUUUAAGUUGUCAGGGACUGAAUGUGCCCUGUUUCCAACAGUUUCUGGCAGUUCUCUGCUUUUAUGGUGUAGUCAUGGUGAAACCUGAGUCAUCUGAAGAUGGUGCCAGUGCCAAAGAACUGGGGAAGGAGCUUGUUGACAAGCCAGGAUGGCAAGGAGCUGGGCUCAAGUAACUGCUGGGCACCCAGGGCCACUGUCCUAUUGGGACAGGAGAGCUGCCCCAAUCCUAAAUGUGUUUAUACAAAUCGCCCCAAACUUUACAGUUUUAAUGAAUACUUUCUGUAGCAAGAGUGUUUAGACACGGCCCAAAAUAUAAAGCAUCUCCCCGGAAAAUUGUUUCUCACAGUUCUGAGUAGCAACACCUAGCUUUUGCAUGUGCCAGAAUUCCUUUCUUUCCUUUACUCUCUUUCUUCCUUUUUUUUUUUUUUUUUUAAACUGAGAAAUCACAACAUUUUCCUGGACAGGCAAACAAAAUACCUUAAUUUGUGUUUUAAGUAAGAAUCGUUUCCUUCCUGUUUCAUUCACAUACAUUAAACUAUCCAGAAAGUA